GCAUAUCACUUUCAAACACCAGUUCCUGUACGAUCACCGAAGUUAAGCAACGUCGAGCCUGAUCAGUACCUUGAUGAGUGACAGCUUGGGUAUACCAGUUGUUGAA